GACGAACGCUGGCGGCGUGCUUAACACAUGCAAGUCGAACGCUGAAGCCCAGCUUGCUGGGUGGAUGAGUGGCGAACGGGUGAGUAACACGUGAGUAACCUGCCCCCUUCUUUGGGAUAACGCCCGGAAACGGGUGCUAAUACUGGAUAUUCACUGGCCUUCGCAUGGGGGUUGGUGGAAAGGUUUUUUCUGGUGGGGGAUGGGCUCGCGGCCUAUCAGCUUGUUGGUGGGGUGAUGGCCUACCAAGGCUUUGACGGGUAGCCGGCCUGAGAGGGUGACCGGUCACAUUGGGACUGAGAUACGGCCCAGACUCCUGCGGGAGGCAGCAGUGGGGAAUAUUGCACAAUGGGCGAAAGCCUGAUGCAGCGACGCCGCGUGAGGGAUGACGGCCUUCGGGUUGUAAACCUCUUUCGCUCAUGGUCAAGCCGCAACAGUGGUUGUGGUGAGGGUAGUGGGUAAAGAAGCGCCGGCUAACUACGUGCCAGCAGCCGCGGUAAUACGUAGGGCGCGAGCGUUGUCCGGAAUUAUUGGGCGUAAAGGGCUUGUAGGCGGUUGGUCGCGUCUGCCGUGAAAUCCUCUGGCUUAACUGGGGGCGUGCGGUGGGUACGGGCUGACUUGAGUGCGGUAGGGGAGACUGGAACUCCUGGUGUAGCGGUGGAAUGCGCAGAUAUCAGGAAGAACACCGGUGGCGAAGGCGGGUCUCUGGGCCGUUACUGACGCUGAGGAGCGAAAGCGUGGGGAGCGAACAGG
rnacentral:rRNA from 1 species